CAAAUUAAUGUCUAAGGGACAAUAUUAUUUACAAUAAUGUUUAUGUUGUGCAAUUCAACAUAGUUUGA
rnacentral:tRNA from 1 species